rnacentral:piRNA from 1 species
CCAUGUGGAAGGAACGAGGGUUGCUG